UACGUAGGGGGCAAGCGUUAUCCGGAUUUACUGGGUGUAAAGGGAGCGCAGACGGCAGUGCAAGUCUGAUGUGAAAGCCCGGGGCUCAACCCCGGAACUGCAUUGGAAACUGUACAGCUUGAGUGUCGGAGAGGUAAGCGGAAUUCCUAGUGUAGCGGUGAAAUGCGUAGAUAUUAGGAGGAACACCGGUGGCGAAGGCGGCUUACUGGACGAUUACUGACGUUGAGGCUCGAAAGCGUGGGGAGCAAACAGGAUUAGAUACCCGGGUAGUCCCUGA
rnacentral:rRNA from 1 species